rnacentral:rRNA from 1 species
CCCUUAGAUGUUCUGGGCCGCACGCGCGCUACACUGAUACUUUCAGCGAGUCCACCACCUUGCCUGAGAGGGUGGGGUAACCUCUGGAAAGUGUAUCGUGAUGGGGAUCGAUUAUUGAAAUUAUUAAUCUUGAACGAGGAAUUCCUAGUAAACGCAGAUCAUCAAUCUGCAUUGAUUACGUCCCUGCCCUUUGUACACACCGCCCGUCGCACCUACCGAUUGGAUGGUCCGGUGAAGCCUCGGGAUUGUGGUUCUUGCCGCUUUAUUGUGGCGUGACCGCGAGAACUUGUCUAAACCUUAUCAUCUAGAGGAAGGUGAAGUCGUAACA